CAAGAUGGCGGACUCGGUUGGCGUGCGACAAGCACGAGCUGAAAAGUGCCGAGAACGUGAGAAGUUCGCGAUUCUGUGUUAAAUCGGUAGCGUGAAUUUCACACGUGGACAGGACGAGGAUCGUCGACGAAGAGGACACGCUCGGAUAACCUAGUGCGAGGCACCUCAAAGUCUCAAAGUUUAACGCAGGAUCACGAACGUGUAUUGUGGUCGUGUGGAUGCGUCAAUAGAACCCCGACGGUGGGAGAAGUUGUUCCGGCCUCUCACGCAGCCAGGUAUAAGGAACUCUGGUUGGUCACAGGUACGCUCAGUCUACCUUUCGUUAGUUGGCUCGUCUUAAAAGUGGCUGGCCCACAUAUCAUCCCCUUAGUAAUCUUCGAUGCGUGUUGCCGUUCGCGUCUACCGGACACUACGGAUAAACAGUCAGCCGCUCGAUCACGGUCAUUUAAAGCUCUUACCAUCGACACGAGUCUCUUUAGAGUCGAAGUUUUUGGAACUUGCGCCGGCUGAACUUCGGAACCAAUCGACGAUUGCCACGGAAUGGGUAAGCCAAAAAUUCAAACAAAUUAUAUACCAUUCGUGCGCCGCGUCCGCAGUUAUAAUCACGUUAUUGUUUAAAUUACGAACCAAACGUGACUCGUCAUUGUUGAACAUCGUGUCCACUUGAACGUCGUUUCUAAACGAAAGCAAACGAAAUAAGAGUACGCAAGAUUUAUCGUUGUCCUCGAAACUGGCGUCGGCAAGUGUUCGAACAAUAGAGAGCCUGCGUUUACUCGUUUAGACCAGUUACACUUGCGACCAGGAACAUCGCCCAAUUGUGACAUGAUUGUGUUUUUUUUUUUUGUUUUUUUUUAUGAUACUUUGCAAGUAGACACAGCAUUAAACGCUAUUAGGCAUGCAUUCUGUUACCAAUUCAAAUUCAUGUUAAAACUACCCUCAAAGUUGGGAGCGAUAUAUUUAUCUAAAUAUCUCAGAUACUGACUAACAUGGCAACAUAUCCAACUGUCCGUUUCCGACUUUGAUGAAACUUGGUGGGUACAUUAAGCAGAUGAAAAUAAGGGAUACGUAGUUUUUUAUAGCUACCCAAUCGCAAGUUUAGGGGUUGAAAUCAUCCCUUGAA